AGUGAACGCUGGCGGUAGGCCUAACACAUGCAAGUCGAACGGCAGCACAGUAAGAGCUUGCUCUUACGGGUGGCGAGUGGCGGACGGGUGAGGAAUACAUCGGAAUCUACUUUUUCGUGGGGGAUAACGUAGGGAAACUUACGCUAAUACCGCAUACGACCUACGGGUGAAAGUAGGUGAUCUUCGGACCUUGCGCGAUUGAAUGAGCCGAUGUCGGAUUAGCUAGUUGGCGGGGUAAAGGCCCACCAAGGCGACGAUCCGUAGCUGGUCUGAGAGGAUGAUAAGCCACACUGGAACUGAGACACGGUCCAGACUCCUACGGGAGGCAGCAGGGGGGAAUAUUUGACAAUGGGCGCAAGCCUGAUCCAGCCAUACCGCGUGGGUGAAGAAGGCCUUCGGGUUGGAAAGCCCUUUUGUUGGGAAAGAAAAGCAGCAGGUUAAUACCCCGCUGUUCUGACGGUACCCAAAGAAUAAGCACCGGCUAACUUCGUG
rnacentral:rRNA from 1 species